rnacentral:rRNA from 1 species
GACGGAGGGUGCAAGCGUUGUUCGGAAUUACUGGGCGUAAAGCGUGCGCAGGCGGUUUUGUAAGCCAGAUGUGAAAUCCCCGGGCUUAACCUGGGAAUGGCAUUUGGGACUGCAAGGCUCGAGUGCGGCAGAGGAGACUGGAAUUCCUGGUGUAGCAGUGAAAUGCGUAGAUAUCAGGAGGAACACCGAUGGCGAAGGCAGGUCUCUGGGCUGACACUGACGCUCAUGCACGAAAGCGUGGGGAGCAAACAGG